UACACCCGUUCCCAUGCCGAACACGGAAGUUAAGCUUCGUCGCGCCAAGAGUAGUUGGGGGAUCGCUCCCUGCGAGGGUAGGUCGUCGCCAUGC
rnacentral:rRNA from 1 species